rnacentral:rRNA from 1 species
UACGUAGGGACCAAGCGUUGUUCGGAUUUACUGGGCGUAAAGGGCGCGUAGGCGGCGCGGUAAGUCACUUGUGAAAUCUCUGAGCUUAACUCAGAACGGCCAAGUGAUACUGCAGUGCUAGAGUGUGGAAGGGGCAAUCGGAAUUCUUGGUGUAGCGGUGAAAUGCGUAGAUAUCGAGAGGAACACCUGCGGCGAAGGCGGGUUGCUGGGCUGACACUGACGCUGAGGCGCGAAAGCGCGGGGAGCGAACGGG